AUACGUAGGUGGCAAGCGUUGUCCGGAAUUAUUGGGCGUAAAGCGCGCGCAGGCGGGAGAGUAAGUCUGUUGUUUAAAUGCGGGGCUCAACCCCGUAUCGCAAUGGAAACUGCUUUUCUUGAGUGCAGGAGAGGAAAGGGGAAUUCCCAGUGUAGCGGUGAAAUGCGUAGAUAUUGGGAGGAACACCAGUGGCGAAGGCGCCUUUCUGGACUGUGUCUGACGCUCAGGCGCGAAAGCUAGGGGAGCGAACGGGAUUAGAUACCCCGGUAGUCCUAGCCGUAAACGAUGGGUACUAGGUGUAGGGGGUAUCGACCCCUCCUGUGCCGGAGUUAACGCAAUAAGUACCCCGCCUGGGGAGUACGGCCGCAAGGCUAAA
rnacentral:rRNA from 1 species